rnacentral:rRNA from 1 species
GACGAACGCUGGCGGCGUGCUUAACACAUGCAAGUCGAACGGAAAGGCCCUGCUUUUGUGGGGGCUCGAGUGGCGAACGGGGGAGUAACACGUGAGUAACCUGCCCUUGACUUUGGGAUAACUUCAGGAAACUGGGGCUAAUACCGGAUAGGAGCUCCUGCUGCAUGGGGGGGGUUGGAAAGGUUCGGCGGUUGGGGAUGGACUCGCGGCUUAUCAGCUUGUUGGUGGGGUAGUGGCUUACCAAGGCUUUGACGGGUAGCCGGCCUGAGAGGGUGACCGGCCACAUUGGGACUGAGAUACGGCCCAGACUCCUACGGGAGGCAGCAGUGGGGAAUAUUGCACAAUGGGCGGAAGCCUGAUGCAGCAACGCCGCGUGCGGGAUGACGGCCUUCGGGUUGUAAACCGCUUUCGCCUGUGACGAAGCGUGAGUGACGGUAAUGGGUAAAGAAGCACCGGCUAACUACGUG